GUAAACAUAAAUCCCAACCUGGAUUCUUCCCUGGGCUGACGGAGUUCAGGGAGAAAGGUAGCAGUAGAUAAGUCAUAUGCUGGAAAAGCUUGGACUCUACCCUGUCAUGAAAACUUUCAGGAACAUUUCUUAUUUCUUUUUAGAGACAAGGUCUCACUAUGUUGCCCAGGCUGGCCUCGAACUCCCGGGCUUCAGCAGUCCUCCCGCCUCACCCUCCGAUGUAGCUAGGACUACAGGACCGCGACCCGGCGCUGCCUAAGAACUGUUUUUAAACGUGAAAGCCACGGCUAUCAUUUGCUUUUUGCUCUGCUCUUCAUCUUCUGGAUAAACCUCGUAACACACUGCUUGUUUUGGGUGGUAGUCUGCUGCCUACGCCCCGUCAGACAAGUGGCCUGAGUCCCCCGCAACCCCUGCAGGUCCGGCCGCCGGCGCCAAGCCUCAAGGCAUCCAAGCCAGGAACGAUCGCGGUCAGCUCUGCCACGGAACAUGUGCAAGACCCGGCAGCAGGUUCCGGGGGAGGCGAAUUGAUUUCACAACGGUCGAGAAGGAGGACCCCGCCCACUUCGUCAUUUCUCGGAAGCCCAGGGACUCGCCGGAAGAGCGGCUCAAAAGCCGGAAAACUGGCAAAUCCGAGUCUCCCGGCGCAUGCGCGGCGCAAUCGGCUUCGCGUGGUUGCAGUAGAGAGGAUCCCUCCGCCAGCCACUGCAUCCGGCGGCCGGAUCUAACUUACCCGCUAGCGUUUUACCCUUGCGCGGCCGUGGCGUAGGGCGGUCUUUUCCCUUGGUCCUCCGCGGCGCCGCCUCUUGUGACGUAAGCCGCAGAAUCCUCUGUCUUAGUUCGGCUCUAUUGCCGCGAGCUUGACUCUUCCUGGGUCUGAGGAAAAGUAAAAGUAAUUUUGUCAUUUCCUGAAACUUCAAGUUAAACCUUUAAGCUGUUCAUUUCCUAAAAGGGUGAAAACGCGGGCACCCCUCGAGCUAGUUCAUCGCCUUUUAACCUGUGAGUUCUGUUAAAAGGAAGUAACUGCAAAAUGUCUUCGCUGUUAGGUUUCUUUGGAAGUUUUGGGUUGUGUUCAUGCGUUCUCUCGGCGUGUGAACUGGGAGAAAGUGGAGUGCCAGCCAUAUGAAAUGACAACUGUAUAUGGAGGCUGGGAAGUAUAAUGCGCAUUCUGGCUUGAUGAAAUUAAUGAAAUUUUAAUUAAGUUUAAUUUUCAUUUGAAUUACCCAGGAAUAGCAUCUUGAAAGGCGGGGCAUAAAAAGCAGUUAAAGAGCUUCGAGAAACGGUUACUCGUUUUGUAAACUAAAGACCAAAUGAAAAUCCAGCUGCACUAGAAAAGAAAGAAACUUAUAAGGGCCGAAGGUUUUGUCUGCAAUUUACAGCUAAUUAGUCUCAAAGAUUUCUGUGAUUUGCCCAAGAGAGGUGGAGUUGGGGCCACUGCUUUACCCAGGACACCGCCGCGGCCCGCUUGAAUACUGCCGCCGUUAGGACCCGCCGUACCUGGCCGUCCAGGGCCUCUUUUCUUGUCUUCCACUCUCACUUGUCUUUUCUCCCCUUUCCAUGUUUUUGGUUCCUUUCCUGAGUUUCCCUUGUCUCCACUCCCCUGCCCCUUUGCUUCCUCUAUCUCUUUAACUUCUGUUUUCUUGAUGGUGGAGCCAACUUUAGUUUCCCUUAAAAGGCCAUAAAAGGAAAUAGAAUAAUUUUAAAAAUGUCUUUUCAUAAGGCUUGUUUUCUUGUCUUAAGCCUGUUUUUUGGUGGGGGGUGAAAAAGUUCAUAUGCAGAUAGACAUAAACUUCUUUUGGUAAAAGCUGCCCUCUAUUUUCUUCCAUAGCUGUCCUGUGAAAGUAGGAGUGUGUGUGAAUGGUGAAGCAAAGAGAGGGAGACAUGGGGUCAGGAGAAGAGGGAGCACAGCGUGUGUAAGGAGUUAAUUAGAACCAGAGGGCCUGGGUCUGUGGCUCAUGCCUGUAAUUCCAGCACUUUGGGAGGCUGAGGCGGAGGACCCUUUGCACCACUGCACUCCAGCCUGAGCAACAGAGUGAGACCCAGUCUCAGAACAAAAAAACAGAAACAGGAGAAAAACCAUCCAUAUAAGCAGAGAGGUACUUAAAAUGUUGCAAAACUAAAUUCCAAAUAACGUCUGUGGAUUCUACAAAAUCUAGGAAAUACACAUUUCCAAUAAAUCUUUGUACAUUCAUCUGUAAUGCAUUUCCUUAGGUGAUUUGAGUCCUUUAGGAGUAAAUCUGUAUCUUUAGCUGUCCCAGAAGUAAUCACAGGCGUUCAUUGUCUAUUCAAUGACAAAGUAUUGUGAACUAUUCUAUGAAAUAAUAAAAUAUCAGUGUUUUCAGAGUACAUGGCCUUUUCAGUAGCCUUUUCAGUGUGGUGGCACGUGUUCCCAGUUCUGCCAGUGGAUAUUGUUAUCUUUGAUCUACAACUGGGAAGCUAAAACCCAGAAAGUUACUUGUCUAAGACUAUACACCUCCAAGAAGGCAGAACUGUGGCUGCUAUUUCCAACUUUCUAGUCUCUGAACAUGUAAUAAAGAACUGAUUUCCAAUUUACAAUGAAUAAUAGAAUUUACAAUGAAUAAUAUAAUUUACUAUAAUAUAACAACCGACCAAAGUGUGCUGUUUUAUUACCAAUUUCUCUCUCUCUCUCUCUCUCUCUUUCUUUUGUGACAGAGUCUCGCUCUGUUGCCCAAGCUGGGGUGCAGUGGUGAGGUCUCGGCUGACUGCAACGUCCGCCUCCCAGGUUCAAGCGAUUCUAACUGCGUCAGACUCCCCAGUAGCUGUGACUACAGGCAGGCGCCACUACACCUGGCUAAUUUUUGUAUUUUUAGUAGAGAUGGGGGCUCACCAUGUUGGUCAGGCUGGUCCCAAAUUCCUUGCCUCAAGUGAUUUGCCCGCCUCGGCCUCCCAAAGUGUUGGGAUUACAGGUGUGAGCCACUGUGCCCACCCCAAUUUGCUUCUUUGGUGUUUGUAAUUCUGCUUGGUCAACCGUAACUUGCAGAAAUUGAUUGGAACAUAUAUUUUGAUAAAGUAUUUGAAGGUAUUCCUGAAGUUUGAUUUAUGUUUCAGCUGCCUAUACUGAAAGAAAAUAAACUGCUGUGUAUUCCAUAAUUUAAAAAUAAUUGUUCACUUUAGUGACAUUUUGUAGUUGGAUAGUGGAGACAAAAGAUGAUACUCUCUGUGAUCUUCAAUCUAAACAUUUAUGUUAGGACAAAUUAUUCCCAUAUCUGUAUAAUGCUAUAUUUCUUCCCUGACCUCUACAAAUCACAGAAGCACCGUUAUUCGAUCUUGUUCUCUUUUUCAAAAAAUUCUACCUUCCAAGGUGGUGGUUCUUUAAGUUUAUAAGUGAACCAUAAAGUAGUUGGAAACCUGGAUCCCAGGAUGGUAGAAACAUGAAGCUUGUUUAUUCCAAGGACAGUUUUAUAUAUGUAUAGGACUUUAUUAUCCUUACUAUAUACAGCAUUUUAAUGGGGAGGGGGAACCAGGAGCAUUGUUGGGGGUUAAUUUAAUUUUUGUAGUUUUAAAAUACAAACGAAUGAU
ensembl:lncRNA novel transcript